GUUACUAUAGUAUAUAUAUAUAUGUGUUAUGAAUGCAAGUCAUUGUAGCAAAGCAUUCUGAAUUUGAUACAAACAUUAUAAACAAAAAGCAUAAUGGAUUCGUAUGUUUUGUGAAUAAAAGCCUGAUCCCUGAAGCAGCUUUUGAAAUCAGGGUUAGACAGAAAGCUUUGUCCAAUCAUCUGAAGAUUAAUCUAUCCCAGCCAUCAUCCAAAUAUUAUACUUGUUUGUGAUAUUCUUUUCUACAUCACAUAUCCCAUCAUGAAACCAUCUAUUUUUUAUUUUCCAAUUGAAAAAACCGUUGCACUCUGGCUUGUCUGCACAGCUGCAAAGCAACCCCAACCAGUCUCUAAAUUCUCCAAAGCAAACACAACUGCAGAAUCC
rnacentral:lncRNA from 1 species